rnacentral:lncRNA from 1 species
CACAUUCUAGCCUAGAGGACAAAGGGAUGGCUGUGUUUCUGUCUUGAAGAAUUCUGGAGUACCAUGGGAGAGAAGGCCUAAGUCCCUGCAGUGGUUUGAAAGAAAAUAGCCCCCAAAAGGGAGUGGCACUAUGAGGAGGUGUGGCCUCACUGGAGGAAGUGUGUCACUGGGGGGGCGGGCUUUGAGGUCUCUCUUGGGCAAGCUUUCCCCAGUGUAAUUGUCAGCCGACUUCCUGGUGUCUGGAGAUGUAGAACUCUCAGCUCCUCCAGCACCACGUCUGUCUGCACACCGCCAUGCUCCCUGUCAUGAUGGUAAUGGACCGGACCUCUGAAACUCAAUAGAAAGCAGACUGAGACGGGUCACUUGACAAGGCAGAUGAUGAGGAGGAGGGUACAAAGUCAUGCACAGGAUCAACACAGCAUCAUGGAGCACCCUGCUGUGGGUCAGGAUGGCAUUCAGCACCCAGAGAUGCACAAAGGAGCUGCCAGGAGAGUUGCUGAGAUCCUGCAGUUGCCGGAAGAGGAGGGUGCUGGCCAACCUGCAGGAUCUCAGCCAUCGUGACGAGGUCCCAUUCCUAGAGCCCUUGAUGCCGGACCACUCUGAGGAUGAAGACUUGAAGGAGACACACAGGUGUUGCCACGUCUCGGGCUGUCAUACCUGCAACUGUCUUCUUGGGGUGAUCAAAGAUUAUGGCUCUCGGGAGUCUCAGGAAGGAUGUCUUAUUCUGGAAAGUGAGCCCCACGGGCAGCGAAGAUCACCUUUGUCCUUGUCUGUGGAUCCCACUGGAAGAAUGCAUGACCCAGGACCUCUUCACUGGGUCCUUUCCAUAGCUAGCUCCGUCCAGUUCCUGAGUGCAGCUUGCCUGGCACGAGCGAGGGCCUGGAUUUGACCCCCAGCACUAGAAAAUCAAACCACCACACAAGCACAUAGGCUAGCAUCAUGGUCCAUCUGCCGGUGUAAUCACGGGACUUUGACACCUUGAUUAUAGUUCCAAGAUGACAACCCAGCAUGAGACUGUGUUGAAUUAAGCCAUACCCACCACACGGGAACUAUUCUCCUUCUCCUAAACCAAAGCGGCUGUACAUCUGCCUAAGGUGAUUCCUACCCACCCAUUGGUUGCUAAAAGGAAGCCAAACCUUUUCUUGAUUGGCAUUUAAUAGCCUCAUCUCCAAUGCUAGUGGCCUUCUAGACUGUGGAAACUCAUCUCAGUGUGAAUGUCAAUCAUUGAAAUUUGUUGUAAAUAAUGUAUUUCCCCCAAAAUAAUUUGGAUCUUCAAGCAAUAGAGUAAUGACAAUCACUACCAACCCACUUUGAGAACCACUAAAUGGAACACGCACACCUGAGCUUGAGCACACUUGUGUUUGGCCGGCAUGUCUGUCUUGUGUGUCUACUGCCCAAAGAAGCCAGAAGAGGGUGUUGGAUCCCUUGGAAUUGGAGUUACAGCCACUCCCCUUGUGGGUGUGGGGAAUCCAACCUGGAUCCUCCGGAAGAGCAGCCAGUGCUCUUAACCACUGAGCCUUCCCUCCAGGACCUGAGCGGUAAUUUUGAUAGUGGUGGCUGGAUGAAUGGAUUUCUGUAAGGAGUAUUGCCAUCCGGUCACACCGAGUCUCCUGGUUGUCAGGUAUGGGGUGUCUUUCCAUUCACCUUCACCUUUAAUUUCUGCCAACAAUGUCUGUAGCCUUCAGAGUGCUAAGUGUUAGCGGUUGAGGAAGCAGACACUUGUUAAAGCGGUGGCCUUACAGACAUGAGUAGAGGAGCUGCUGUUACUUCACCUUCAGAAUUGUGUUUGUUUGCUUUUAAACUAAAAGUCACUGGAGAAACAGAGGCAGGAUCAGCCAGAAUCACCAAGUCACUUAGUGAAACUCAUUGUUUCAGGUGAUGCAGGCUUGACUUUGUACAUGUGACCAGAAAUGUGUGUGUCUUCGUCAGUGCUCUGUCGCUGUGAAGAGACACCGCGACCAAGGCAACACUAUAAAAGGAAGUGU